ensembl:lncRNA
CACUGCUGCCCCAUAGAGACCCCAUAGAGACCCCAUAGCUGCCCCAUAGAGACCCCAUAGCUGCCCCACUGCUGCCCCAUAGAGACCCUAUAGCUGCCCCACUGCUGCCCCAUAGAGACCCCAUAGAGACCCCAUAGCUGCCCCAUAGAGACCCCAUAGCUGCCCCAUAGCUGCCCCAUAGAGACCCCAUAGAGACCCCAUAGCUACCCCAUAGCUGCCCCACUGCUGCCCCAUAGCUGCCCCAUAGAGACCCCAUAGAGACCCCAUAGCUGCCCCACUGCUGCCCCAUAGAAACCCCAUAGCUGCCCCAUAGAGACCCCAUAGCUGCCCCACUGCUGCCCCAUAGCUGCCCCAUAGCUGCCCCAUAGAGACCCCAUAGCUGCCCCACUGCUGCCCCACUGCUGCCCCACUGCUGCCCCAUAGAGACCCCACAGCUGCCCCACAGCUGCCCCAUAGCUGCCCCAUAGCUGACCCAUAGCUACCCCAUAGCUGACCCAUAGAGACCCCACAGCUGACCCACAGCUGACCCAUAGGUGCCCCACAGCUGCCCCAUAGCACCCCAUCGAGCCCAUAGCACCCCAUAGAGACUCAUAGAGAUUCCAUAGGGAUCCAUGAAGCUCCAUAGUUGCCCCAUACAGACCCCAUAGCACCCCAUAGAGCCCCAUAGAACCCCAUAGUGCCCCAUAGGGACCCCAUAGUGCCCCAUAGAGCGCCAUAGAGCCCCAUAGACCCUCAUAGAGCCCCAUAGGGACCCCAUAGUGCCCCAUAUAGCCCCAUAGGAGAUUAUAGAGCUCCAUAGAGCCCCAUAGGGAUCUUAUAGAGCCAUAUAGGGCCCCAUAGAGACCCCAUAGAGCCCCGGAGUGACCCAUAGGGGAUCAUAGAACUCCAUAGAGCCCCAUAGUGCCCCAUAGGGCCCCAUAGAGCCCUUUAGCAUCCCAUAGGGAUCCCAUAGAGCCCCAUAGAGACCCCACAGAGCCCCAGAGUGACCCAUAGGGGAUCAUAGAACUCCAUAGAGCCCCAUAGGGACCCCGUAGAGCCCCAUAGUGCCCCAUAGGGCCCCGUAGAGCCCUUUAGCACCCCAUAGGGAUUUUAUAGAGCCCC